rnacentral:lncRNA from 1 species
AGCACAUUUCAGAUAGAAACAUGGAAUAGAGCCUGAUCACAAAUACUGCUGGAUUUUCAGUAAUUCACAUUACCUAAACCGAAAUGAAAACCUUGGUCUUUUGCUGUUCUGAAUCAAUAUUUUGUUUCAACAAAUCAUACUGUGAGAUGGGAAAAGAGUCCAGAAGUCUUCUAGAGCCUGCGUGGUUUUUCCUACACUUCACACACAUGUGGGAAGCAGAAGAAAGGCCAAGACAACCUACUGAGAGACAAAAGAACGCUUAGAUUAUUGGACAAGCAAGAGAUUUUAGUACAUGAGAGGCUGAGAAAAUAUAAAUGUCAAUGUAAAUUGCAAAUUGUAUACAUGAAUUAGCAAAUUUUCCUUUUUGUCUUUAGCACAUUAUUUGAAUUUCUACUACUCUACCCAUCCUUAUCCUUUUGUUGUCAAGUAAAAUUUAUGUUUGUACCACAGUUAAGCACUUCUGAAGCAUUUUAAAUGAUUGUAUUUCAAGAUAUAUAGUAAUUUUUGUUUUUUAAACAUCUUCUCUAGAGGAUCUGCUCUCUUAAAAACUGGGUUUCAGAGACAAAGGGAAACUCUGUGUUGACCAAAGGUAAAACAGUAAGCCUAUGACAAAGGGCUGCAAAUAACCAGAUAAGCUGUGAAUUCUGAUGAGCCAAGAAAUUACAUGAUUCUUUUCCACUAAACUUACUAAAAGUACACAUCUAGACUUCUUUCUUUAAGAAAAAAGGUACUUAAGCAAGGUCAUACGGAGGUCAUAAAGCAAGCUCAUUUAGUGUGGAAACUGGAGCAGUGUGCUCUGCAUGUUCAGAAACUAUAAGCAUUCCAGAAAGUGGGAAAUUCAUACAGCGUCUCUGUGUAACAGCUACCUAGAGUGCCAUGUUUUCCCUGCUUUCAUCCUUUUUUUUUUUUUUUUUUUUUUUUUUUUGUAGUCACAAACAGGCUCAAGAUCAAAUUUACUGUGUUAAAAAUGAGCAUCUAAAUAGAUAAGAUUGCCAAGGCCUUUUUAUUCCUAAGGAUGACAUCAGUGACAACUUGCUAUGGAUUUUUGUCAAUCUUGCAGGAGUUGAAGUGUUUCUGAUUUUUCCUUGGUGAGUCCAUUUGUAAAUCCACCUACCACUGCCAUUGUGAUAAAAUAAAUUAUCAAAAUAAUGUGAUCAUUAUUUGGGUACAGUCAUUUUCUCCACAGGAUGCUCACUCCCCUCAUUUCUGUUCUCCACACUUUCUUCCACUUCAUCAAGUCUAUCCUUUUACUGACCUUUCCAUGAAAUGACAUCUUCCAGUUAUUCUUCUGGCUAUUAAAUGUAUUUUUAAAAUUUUCUGCAUGAUUUUCCUUGGAUCUACCUAUCAGAUGUCCUUGUCUACCUUCUAUUUCUAGUUUCCCUUAAUUUUUUCAGUUGUUCUUUGGGUCCUUUGAAGCUUCCUUGGGUGUUAUGUGUCUCUCCCACUCCUUCUCCACCCUGCCUGCCAAAGUAUUCCAUAGUUCUGUAAGACAAAGACUCAUUUUUUCAGAAAACACAAAUCCUAUCCAAUCCAAGUUUUAUCAGUCAAUUUUUCUUUGCCACAUGACUGCAUCAAACACUAAAUGAGAAAAGUAUCCAGGCAAGAGAAUCAAACAAUAUGUAGGUGAGAUAACAAGAAACAUGAAUGGUUCCAAUAAGUUUGGAGUUGUAAAGUCUUUUCUUCUUGCUCUGUUCUGCCUUUUUUUUUUUCAUCUGGGAGACAUAAAAUUGGAUCACAAAUUCUUCUUGGCAGAGGGGGUGUCUUUUAUUUAUUUGUGCUUUAAUGCACCUAGCCCAGCAUGUAAAGAACCACAUCAUUAAACAUAUAAAAUUUCUUUUUUCUUUUUAAUAAACUUUGAAAAGAAUGAUGAAUAACAUCAAAUUGUAUUUUAGCUUCCAGUUUUGAACUGGCAGUAAAAUCCCAUCUAUUAACUUUGCUUUUCUUACC